rnacentral:rRNA from 1 species
AACGAACGCUGGCGGCAUGCCUAACACAUGCAAGUCGAACGAGACCUUCGGGUCUAGUGGCGCACGGGUGCGUAACGCGUGGGAACCUGCCCUUAGGUUCGGAAUAACUCCCCGAAAGGGGUGCUAAUACCGGAUAAUGUCUUCGGACCAAAGAUUUAUCGCCUUUGGAUGGGCCCGCGUUGGAUUAGCUUGUUGGUAGGGUAAAAGCCUACCAAGGCGACGAUCCAUAGCUGGUUUGAGAGGAUGAUCAGCCACACUGGGACUGAGACACGGCCCAGACUCCUACGGGAGGCAGCAGUGGGGAAUAUUGGACAAUGGGCGAAAGCCUGAUCCAGCAAUGCCGCGUGAGUGAUGAAGGCCUUAGGGUUGUAAAGCUCUUUUACCCGGGAUGAUAAUGACAGUACCGGGAGAAUAAGCUCCGGCUAACUCCGUG